AUUGAACGCUGGCGGCAGGCCUAACACAUGCAAGUCGAGCGGAUGACGGGAGCUUGCUCCUUGAUUCAGCGGCGGACGGGUGAGUAAUGCCUAGGAAUCUGCCUGGUAGUGGGGGACAACGUUUCGAAAGGAACGCUAAUACCGCAUACGUCCUACGGGAGAAAGCAGGGGACCUUCGGGCCUUGCGCCAUCAGAUGAGCCUAGGUCGGAUUAGCUUGUUGGUGAGGUAAUGGCUCACCAAGGCGACGAUCCGUAACUGGUCUGAGAGGAUGAUCAGUCACACUGGAACUGAGACACGGUCCAGACUCCUACGGGAGGCAGCAGUGGGGAAUAUUGGACAAUGGGCGAAAGCCUGAUCCAGCCAUGCCGCGUGUGUGAAGAAGGUCUUCGGAUUGUAAAGCACUUUAAGUUGGGAGGAAGGGUUGUAGAUUAAUACUCUGCAAUUUUGACGUUACCGACAGAAUAAGCACCGGCUAACUCUGUG
rnacentral:rRNA from 1 species